AUUUAUAUAAUAUAAUAAUUAUUUUUAACUUCCAAUUAAAAUAUCUAAAUUAAUUUUAGUAUAAAUA
rnacentral:tRNA from 1 species